rnacentral:lncRNA from 1 species
UGUGACUGGAGUUUUUCUUUGUCAGAGAUAAGCAGUUGCUUGACAUCAUCCAUUUCUUUCAUAGAAGAAUGAAGCUGCAUGAAUAUAUCCUCUUUCUCUGCAGUAGCUUCAUCAAGUGCUUCUUGGAACUUGCUCAUUUUUGUCUCAUAUGUUGCAAGGUCCUCAGUGAGACUUAGGUUAUCUCUCGAUAAAUCUUCAUUCUCAGUUUUAAAUUGAGCCAACCUGCAAUACAGUUGCUCAACAAGCCCUUCAUAUUCUUGUAAUUUAAAAUGUGCCUCUUCCAGGUUGCUCUUCUGAGUUGCUGCAACAAUAGCCAACUCACUAGCCUGUUCUUCGUAAUUUUUUAACUGAUAUUCAAGUGCAAACAGCUUCUCAUUCAAGUCUCUGUCUUCUAAAUCUCGCUGCUUGUGUUUCUCAAUAGCUUCAUGCAGCUGGGCCUCAUUUUCUUUGAGGCAAACUUCAGUUGCAAACAAGAGCUCCAGGCCUUGUGAAUGUUCAUCAGUCAACUUCGCUAUGAUGCUUGCAUGAGAGGCAAGUUGCUCAUUAACAGCCUCCUUCUCUGCAUGGAUAGAUUUCAACACCUCAUUAAGCUCAUUGACUUUAUGCUGAUGAGCUUCCAACUCUUCCCUGAGCUCUAAGUUUGAUGUAGCCAACAACUCAUUUUCAGAAAGUGUUUGUUCGCCUUUCAGAUUAGCUUCUGAGACCUUUUGCUUAAGCUCCUGAAUGUUGUUUUCAAGAGAAACAAGUGUUAAUGCAUUUGCUCCCAAUUCUGCUUCAAGUAAGGUGACAGUUUGAGUAGCUUCAACUAACUGUUCUUUGUAAAAUGUUGAUUGUUCCUCGAGAGAUUUUAACUUCUCAAGCAACUCCUUAGUUUCAGACUCCUUUUGCAAGAUGCUUGCAGCUACUUGCUCAAGUUUUAAUUCCGUAUCCUUGAUUAAAGAUUCAUUUAAUGAAUUUAACUCCAAGUUUCUUGCAGUAAGUUCCUCCACGGCCUUUCUGUGAUGUCCCAACUGCUCUUCAGCGUAUCUAAGCUUUUGCUCCAGUUCAGAUUGCAUAAGAGAUUUCUCAGACAACUCUGCUUUAAGACUUUCUGCUAGAGAAUCAAGAGAGAAUUCCCUUGCUUUCUGUUCACUUAGUUUUUCUUCCAAUUUGGAUACAGUAGCUUCGAGUUCCUUCCUUGAAUUUUGGUGCAUUUUGUUGCAUUUUUUGUUCUCUUCCAUGACGGAGGUUAUCUGUCAUAUUACAUCUUAGAUAAGAAAUUCCUUUUCCCAAAAUAAUUUGUUCAAAUGUGAAUCACAGAGAAUCAUGUAAAACGUUGAAAUUUAUCGGCAUCAUAGAAUUUUAAGGAACAAUAUUACAAGUGUAAGAUAGGCAUGGUAUAUUUACUAACCUGCGACUGAAGUUUCUCUUUAUCAGAGAUAUGCAGUUGCAUGAGAUCUUCCAUGUUUUUCUGAGAAGAAUGAAGCUGCAUGAAUAUAUCCUCUUUCUCUGUGACAGUUGCAUCAAGUGCUAGUUGCAACCCGUUCAUUCUUGUCUUAUUUGUUGCAAUCUCCUCAGUGAGACUGAGAUUAUCUCUUGAUAAAUCUUCAUUCUCAGUUUUGAAUUGAUCUGACAUGCUUUUCAAUUGCUCUACAAGCCCUUCCAGUUCCUGUAAUUUGGAAUGUGCCUCUUCCAGUUUUCCCUUCUGACUUGCCAAUUGUUCUUCGGCAGAUUUUAACUUCUCAAGCAAUUCUUCAGCUUCAGACUCCUUUUGCAUGAUGGUUGCGUCUGCUUGCCUAAGUUGCUCCAAGUUUCUUGUCGUAAGUUUCUCCAAAGCAUUUCUGUGAUGUUCCAACUGUUCUCCAGCAUAUCUAAGAUUUUGCUCCAGUUCUGAUUGCAUAAGAGAUUUCCCAGACAACUCUGCUUUAAGACUUUCUACAAGAGAAACAAGAGAGGAUUCCCUUGUCUUCUGUUCACUUAGUUGUUCUUGGAAUUGGGCUAAAGUAGCUUCCAGUUCUUUCCUAGCGUUAUGGUACAUCUCAUUGCACAUGUUGUUCUCUACCAGUACAGAAGUUAUCUGCAAUAUUACUUCUGCUUUAGAUAACAAGUUUGUUUUCACAAGGCAAUUUGUUAUGUCAAAUCUGAAAUACAAGUAAUCAUGCUUCUAUCUUGUAAAUUAUCGACAUUUAGAAUUUUAUGGACUUCUGUUAAAUGCAUAAGAUAGAGAUCAAGGAUUUUAAUUUCGGAUAUUGCAUUGUACCAGUCUUUGACCAGACUGGUACAGGUUCAAGCUACAUGCCGGUACAUAUCAAGUUUUGUAAAGAAAGUCUGAAAAAAGACUGAAAACAAAAGAAAAAAGUUAUUGCCCAGUACAAGUCCUACAACAUGCAGGCCCAAAAUUGAGCAGUAUAAGGCCGUAGCAGGCAGUAUGCCUUAUGCCAGGCUUGAAUCGCCUGGUUUAGCCUAGUACACGUGUUUAUUGGACCGAUAAUUACCCUUGUACCAAACCAUACCAGACAAUAUUGGAAACGUUGAUAGAGAUUGUGUAUUUACAAACCUGUGACUGGAGUUUCUCUUUAUCAGAGCUAUGUAAUUGCAUGAGCUCCUCCAUUUCUUUCUUGGAAGAACAAAGCUGCAUGAAUAUAUCCUCUUUCUGUGUAACAGCUGCAUCAAGUGCUACUUGCAACUCAUUCAUAUUCAUCGCAUACAUUGCAAGGUUCUCAGAGAGACUUAGGUUAUCUCUUAAUAAAUCUUCAUUCUUAAUUUUGAAUUGAUCCAACUGGCUUUUUAGUUGCUCUACAAGCCCUUCCAGUUCUUGUAAUUUGAAAUGUGCCUCUUCUAGUUUACCCUUUUGAGUUGCUGCUACAACAGCUGACUCACUAGCCUGUUCUUCAUAAGCUCUCAACUGAGUUUCAAGUGCAAGCAGCUUCUCAUACAGGUCCCUGGCUUCUAGAUCUCUCUGCUUGUGUUUCUCAAUAACUUCAUGCAGCUGGGCUUCAUUUUCUUUAAGGCUACAUUCAGUUGCUAACUGAAGCUCCAAGUCUCUUGAAUGUUCAUCACUCAUUUGUGCUAUAGUGCUUGCAUGAGAGGCGAGUUGCUCCACAGCAAACUCCUUCUCUGCAUGGAUGAAUUCCAGAAACUCCUUAAGCUCAUUAAGUUUGUUCUGAUGAGAUUCCAACUCCUCCCUGAGCUUUGAGUUUGAUGUUGCCAAUAAUUCAUUUUCAGCAAAUGUCUGUUCACCUUUCAGAUUAGCUUCAGAGACCUUUUGUUUAAGCUCCUCAACAAUGUUUUCAAGAGAAAUCAGUUUCAUCACAUUCACCCCCAACUCUGCCUUAAGUGAGGCUACAUUUUCAGUAGCUUUGACUGCCUGUUCUCUAUAAAAUGCUGAUUGUUCUUCAACAGAUCUUAACUUCUCAAGCAAUUCGUUAGCUUCAGACUCCUUCUGUAUGAUGCAUGCAUCUGCUUGCUCAAGUUUUAAUUCAGAAUCCUUAAAUAAAGAUUCAUUUAAUGAAUUUAACUCCAAGUUUCUUGUCAUAAGUUCCUCCACAGCCUUUUUGUAAUGUUCCAACUGUUCUCCAGCAUAUCUAAACUUUUGUUCCAGUUCUGAUUGCAUCAGAAAUUUUGUAGACAACUCUGAUUUAAGAAUUUCAACAAGAGAAUCAAGAGAGCUUUCCCUUUCCAUCUGUUCGCUUAUUUUUUCUUCCAAUUGGGCUAUGGUUUCUUUGAGUUCUUUCCUUGCAUUUUGGUGCAUUUCAUUGUGCAAGUUGUUCUCUUCCAUGACAGAGGUUAUCUGCAGUAUUACUUCUGUUUUAGAUAAAGAAAUUCCUUUCCUAAAACAUUUUGUUAUACAAAUGGAAAAUACAAGAAAUCAUGUGCCUAUUUUGUAAUUUAUGGGCGUCACAGAAUUUAAAGGAUCCAUGUUACAUGUAGAAGAUGUAGAUUGUAAUUUACUAACCUGUGACUGGAGUUUCUCUUUAUCAGAGAGAAGAAGUUGCAUGUGAUCCUCCAUUUCUUUCUUUGAAGAAUGAAGCUGAACGAAUAUAUCCUCUUUGUCAGUAACAGCUGCUUCAUGUGCUACUUUUAACUCAUUUAUUUUUGUCUUAUAUGUUGCAAGCUCCUCAGUGAGACUCAGGUUAUCCCUUGAUAAAAAAUCAUUCUCAGUUUUGAAUUGAUCCAACUUGCUUUCCAGUUGCUGAACAAGCUCUUCCAGUUCCUGUAAUUUGAAAUGUGCCUCUUCCAGUUUGCCCUUGUGAGUUGUUGCAAUGACAGCUGACUCAAUGGCCUGUUCUUCAUAAGCAUUUAACUGAGACUCAAGUGCAAGAAGCUUCUCGGAUAGGUCUCUAGCUUCAAAAUCUAUUUGCUUGUGUUUGUCAAUAGCUUCAUGCAGCUGGGCUUCAUUUUCUUUAAGGCGAUAUUCAGUUGCUAACUGGAGCUCCAAGCCUCUUGAAUGUUCAUCAGUCAAUUGUGCUAUAGUGUUUGCAUGAGAAACGAGUUGCUCGACAGAAGCCUCCUUUUCUGCUUGGAUGAAUUUCAAUAACUCCUCAAGCUCAUUAACUUUGUGCUGAUGAGAUUUCAACUCCUCCAUGAGCAUUGAGUUUGACCUUACCAACAAUUCAUUUUCAGCACGUGUCUGUUCACCUUUCAGAUUAGCUUCUGAGACCUUUUGCUUAAGCUCCUCAACAUUAGUUUCAAGUGAAACCAAUGCCAUCGCAUUUGCCCCCAACUCCGCUUCUAGUGAGGCUACAUUUUCAGUAGCUUGAACUGCCUGUUCUUUAUAAAAUGCUGAUUGUUCUUCAAGAGAUUUUAACUUGUUAAGCAAUUCUUUAGCUUCAGACUCCUUUUGCAUGAUGCUUUUGGCUGCCUGCUCAAGUUUCAACUCAGAAUUCUUUAACAAAGAUUCAUUCAAUGAAUUUAACUCCAAAUUUCUUGUUGUUAGUUCAUCCACAGCCUCUUUGUGAUGUUCCAACUGUUCUCCGGCAUAUCUAAGCUUUUGCUCCAAUUCUGAUUGCAUAAGAGAUUUCUCAGACAAAUCUGAUUUAAGACUUUCCACAAGGGAAUCAAGAGUGAAUUCCCUUGCCUUCUGUUCGCUUAGAUUUUGUGUCAAUUGGACUAUAGUUUCUUCCAGUUCUUUCCUUGCAUCAUUAUGCAUCUCGUUGCGCAUGUUGCUUUCUGCCAUGAUAGAGGUUAUCUGCAACAUUACUUCUGUUUUAGAUAACAAAUUCCUUUACCCAAAAUAAUUUGCUAUACAAAUGUGAAAUACAAAAGGUCAUGCUCCUAUUUCUCAAUUUAUUGGCAUCCUAGAAUUUGAAGGACCCAUCUUACAUGUAGAAAAAUGAAUAUUAUUAAUGACUAACCUGUAACUGGAGUUUCUCUUUAUCAGAGAUGAGCAGUUGCAUGAGAUCCUCCAUUUCUUUCUUUGAAGAAUGAAGCUGAAGGAAUAUAUUCUCUUUCGCUGCGACGGAUGCUUCAAGUGCCACUUGCAACUCAUUCAUUUUUGUCUUUAAUGUUGCAAGCUCCACGGUGAGACUCAGGUUUUCUCGUGAUAAAUCUUCAUUCUCAGUCUUGAAUUGAUCCAAUGUGCUUUUCAGUUGCUGAACAAGCCCUUCAUGUUCCUGUAAUUUGAAAUGUGCCUCUUCAAGUUCGCUCUUCUGAGUGGCUUCGAAAAUAGCUGACUCACUAGCCUGUUCUUCAUAAGAUUUUAACUGAGAUUCAAGUGCAAGCUGCUUUUCGUACAGGUCUCUGGCUUCCAAAUCUCGCUGCUUUUGUUUCUCAAUAGCUUCACGUAGCUGGGCUUCAUUUUCUUUGAGGCGAAAUUCAGUUGCAAACUGGAGCUCCAAGCCUCGUGAAUGUUCUUCAGUCAACUUCGCUAUGGUGCUGGCAUGAGAGGCCAGUUGCUCGACAGCAGCCUCCUUCUCUGUAUGGAUGGAUUUCAACACCUCAUUAAGCUCACUGACUUUUUGCUGAUGAGCUUCCAACUCCUCCCUAAGCUUUGAGUUUGAUGUAGCCAACAAUUCAUUUUCCGCAAGUGUCUGUUCAUGUUUCAGAUUAGCUUCUGAGAUGUGUUGCUUAAGCUCCUCAACUUUGUUUUCAAGAGAAACCAAUGUCUUGGCAUUCACUCCCAACUCCGCCUUAAGUGAGGCGACAGUUUCAGUAGCUUCAAUUGCCUGUUCUUUAUAAAAUGACGACUGCUCUUCAAGAGAUUUUAGCUUCUCAAGCAAUUCCUUAACUUCAGACUCCUUUUGCAAGAUGUUUGCAGCUGAUAGCUCAAGUUUCAAUUCUGAAUCCUUGAUUAAAGAUUCAUUUAAUGAACUUAACUCCAUGUUUCUUGCUGCAAGUUCCUCCACAGCUUGUCUGUGAUGUUCCAACUGUUCUUCAGCAUGUCUAAGCUUUUGUUCCAGAUCAGACUGCAUAAGAGAUUUAUCAGAUAACUCUACGUUAAGACUUUCCACGAGAGAAUAAAAAGAAAAUUCCCUUGCCUUCUGUUCGCUUAGUUUUUCUUCCAAUUGGGCUAUAGUAGCUUCGAGUUCUUUCCUUGCAUUUUGGUGCAUUUUGUCAUGCAUAUUGUUCUCUUCCAUGACAAAAUUUAUCUGCAAUAUUAUUUCUAUUUUAGAUAACAAUUCCAAUUCCCAAAAUAAUUUGUUUAAUUUGUUCUACAUAUGUGAAAUGCUGAGAAUUGUGCUCCUACCUUGCAAUUUAUUGGCAAUUUUAAGAUUCCAAGUAACACAAUUAAGACAGAGCUUCAGUAUUUACUUACCUGUAACUGGAGUUUCUCUUUAUCAGACAUGUGUGAUUGCAUGAUAUCUUCCAAUUCUUUAUUGGAAGAAUGAAGCCGCAUAAUUAUAUCCUCUUUCUCUAUUAUAGCUGUAUCAAACUCUACUUGUAACUCAUUCAAUUUUGUCUCAUACGUUGCAAGCUUCUCACUAAGACUAACGUUAUCCCUUGAUAAAUCUUCAUUCUCAGUUUUAAAUUGAGCCAACCUGCUAUACAGGUGCUCAACAAGGCCUUCAUGUUCCUGUAGUUUGCAAUGUGCCUCAUCCAGUUUACUCUUUUGAGUUGCUGCAACAAUAGCUGACUCACUAGCCUGUUCUUCAUAACUUUUCAACUGAGAUUCAAGUGCAAGCAGCUUCUCAUACAGGUCUUUGGCUUCAAAAUCUCGCUGCUUGUGUUUCUCAAUAGCCUCAUGCAGUUGGGUUUCAUUCUCCUUGAGGCGAAAUUCAGUUGCAAACUGGAGUUCCAAGCCGCGUGAAUGUUCUUCAGUCAACUUUGCUAUGGUGGUGGCAUGAGAGGUUAGUUGCUCAACAGCAGCCUCCUUCUCUGUAUGGAUGGAUUUCAAGAACUCAUUAAGCUCAAUGACUUUUUGCUGAUGAGCUUCCAACUCUUCCCUAUGAUUUGAGUUUGAUGUAGCCAACAAUUCAUUUUCUGCAAGUGUCUGUUCAUGUUUCAGAUUAGCUUCUGAGAUCUGUUGCUUAAGCUCCUCAUAAUUGUUUUCAAGAGAAACCAGUGUCUUUGCAUUCGCUCCCAACUCUGCCUUAAGUGAGUUGACAUUUUCAUUAGCUUCAAUUGCCUGUUCUUUAUAAAAUGACGACUGCUCUUCAAGAGAUUUGAUCUUCUCAAGCAAUUCCUUCACUUCAAAGUCCUUUUGCAAGAUGUUUGCAGCUGCUUGCUCAAGUUUCAACUCUGAAUCCUUGAUUAAAGAUUCAUUUAAUGAAUUUAACUCUGAAUUUCUUGCUGUCAGUUCCUCCACAGCAUUUCUGUGAUGUUCCAACUGUUCUCCAGCAUGUAUAAGCUUUUUCUCCAUAUCAGACUGCAUAAGAGACUUCUCAGACAACUCUGCUUUAAGACUUUCCACAAGAGAAUCGAAAGAAAAUUCCCUUGCCUUCUGUUCACUCAGUUUUUCUUCCAAUUGGGCUAUAGCAGCUUCGAGUUCUUUCCUUGCAUUGUGGUGCAUUCCUUUGUGCAUGUUGUUCUCUUCCAUGACAGAGGUUAUCUGCAACAUUAUUUCUAUUUUAGAUAACAAAUUCCAUUUCCUAAAUAAUUUGUUUAAAUUGUAUGUGAAAUGCAGGGAAUCAUGGUCCUGCCUUGCAAUUUUUAGGCAUCAUAGAAUUUGAAGUUCCAAGUUACAAGAUUAAGAUAGAGAUUCUGUAUUUACUUACCUGUAACUGGAGUUUCUCUUUAUCAGACAUAUGUAAUUGCAUCAUAUCCUCCAAUUGUUUUGUAGAAGAAUGAAGCUGCAUGAGUGUAUCCUCUUUCUCUGCAGUAGCUUCAUGGAGUGCAGCUUGUAACAGGUUCAUUUUUGUCUCAUAUGUUGCAAGCUCCUCGGUUAGACUCAGGUUAUCUCUUGAUAAAUCUUCGUUCUCAGUUUUGAAUUGAGCCAAACUGCUUUGCAAUUGCUCAAUAAGCCCUUCAUGUUCCUGUAGUUUGAAAUGUGCCUCUUCCAGUUUGCUCUUCUGAGUGGCUGUGAGAAUAUCUGACUCACUAG